rnacentral:rRNA from 1 species
AUGAACGCUAGCGGCAGGCUUAAUACAUGCAAGUCGAGGGGCAGCACGGUGUAGCAAUACAUGGGUGGCGACCGGCAAACGGGUGCGGAACACGUACAGAACCUUCCUCAGAGCGGGGGAUAGCCCAGAGAAAUUUGGAUUAAUACCCCAUAGGAUAGUGGAGUGGCAUCACUCAGCUAUUAAAGAUUUAUCACUUUGAGAUGGCUGUGCGUCUGAUUAGGUAGUUGGUGAGGUAACGGCUCACCAAGCCGACGAUCAGUAACUGGUGUGAGAGCACGACCAGUCACACGGGCACUGAGACACGGGCCCGACUCCUACGGGAGGCAGCAGUAAGGAAUAUUGGUCAAUGGACGCAAGUCUGAACCAGCCAUGCCGCGUGGAGGAUGAAGGUCCUCUGGAUUGUAAACUUCUUUUAUCUGGGACGAAAAAAGGGGAAUUCUUUCUCGUCUGACGGUACCAGAUGAAUAAGCACCGGCUAACUCCGUG